GUCAGCAGCCGCGGUAACACCGGCGGCCCGAGUGGUGAUCGUGAUUAUUGGGUCUAAAGGGUCCGUAGCCGGUUUGGUCAGUCCUCCGGGAAAUCUGAUAGCUCAACUAUUAGGCUUUCGGGGGAUACUGCCAGACUUGGAACCGGGAGAGGUAAGAGGUACUACAGGGGUAGGAGUGAAAUCUUGUAAUCCCUGUGGGACCACCUGUGGCGAAGGCGUCUUACCAGAACGGGUUCGACGGUGAGGGGCGAAAGCUGGGGGCACGAACCGGAUUAGAUACCCGGGUAGUCCCAGCCGUAAACGAUGCUCGCUAGGUGUCAGGCAUGGCGCGACCGUGUCUGGUGCCGCAGGGAAGCCGUGAAGCGAGCCACCUGGGAAGUACGGCCGCAAGGCUGAAACUUAAAGGAAUUGGCGGGGGAGCACAACAACGGGUGGAGCCUGCGGUUUAAUUGGACUCAACGCCGGACAACUCACCGGGGGCGACAGCAAUAUGUAGGCCAAGCUGAAGACUUUGCCUGAAUCGCUGAGAAGUGGUGCAUGG
rnacentral:rRNA from 1 species